rnacentral:rRNA from 1 species
UCGAGAAUCUUUCGCAAUGCCCGAAAGGGUGACGAAGCGACGCCGCGUGUGGGAAGAAGGCCUUCGGGUUGUGAACCACUGUCGGGAGUUAAGAAAUGCAAGGGUGU